GUGAGGAAUAUUGGGCAAUGCCCGCAAGGGUGACCCAGCAACGCCGCGUGGAGGAUGAAUGUCGUAAGAUUGUAAACUCCUGUUAGAGGGGAAGAAUAGUACCGGUUGGACCGGUAUAUGACUGUACCCUCAGAGAAAGCCCCGGCUAACUACGUGCCAGCAGCCGCGGUAGUACGUAGGGGGCAAGCGUUGUCCGGAUUUACUGGGUGGAAAGGGCGCGCAGGCGGGAUAAAAGGUCAGUGGUGAAAUCCUACAGCUUAACUGUAGAACUGCCUUUGAUACUUUUAGUCUUGAGUUCGGGAGAGAGAGACGGAAUUCCAGGUGUAGUGGUGAAAUACGUAGAUAUCUGGAAGAACACCAGUUGCGAAGGCGGUCUCUUGGUCCGACACUGACGCUGAGGCGCGAAAGCGUGGGGAGCAAACA
rnacentral:rRNA from 1 species